UUUCGCUAACAAUUACAGCAUAUAGUUUAUAUUGUACUUCUCAAUUUUUCAAGUAAGGGUGGAAGAUAUUCUAGUUGAAUUCCAUUUAAACAUUAAAAUGAUUUUCAAAUACCGUUUGAUCGUCUUUUUUGUGUUCAUCGCUGUGAUGCACUUAACCAAUGGAAAAGAGGCUGAAACUGAAAAAAAAUGCAAAUAUCCGCCUUGUACCAUGCCAACUAAAUGGUAAAUCAUGUGAUCAUGUAUGUAUAUUGUAUAACUAUUACCUUUUCGAUUAUAACAAAAUGCAAGUCAGGUAAUAAAGUAUUUAAAUAGCAAAGAA